UGCUACUGCUGUUGCUCUACUCCGUUUGUCCGUACCGGAGUAUAUACGUGUACAAGUUGGUUUGCCGCCUCCGUCUCGGCCGGUCGAUAACGUUACGCGUCGGGCCCGAAAACGGUGCUCUUCUCCUUUAGAAGUUCUUGCGCUUGGUGGCUUAGGGGGUCUCGCUUUGCGAUCUAGCGAUCUCGCGCGUACUCCACUUUUCCUUUGGCCACCAAAGCCGAGUAGGUCGCGUGUAAUCUAGACGGAAACGUCGGUCUGAAAGAACGGGGAUGAGGGAGGGAUGAUGGUGGCGAAAGGGGUUGCUGCAAAGAGUGAGCGAGCGAAUGAACGAGCGAAUGAGAAAGCUAUUUGCGGAAGAUAUGGGUCGGCUACCCCGAAUGGGAAAGACUGCCGUUGGCUGUUGCUGACUGCUGUUGCUGCUGCUACUGCUACUGCUACUGCUACUAUUGCUAUUGCUAUACUGCUGAUAUAUUCCUACUGGUGCUGGGCUGACUCUUUUUCUCAAACGUUGAUGCAAAGCAAACUUCCAGGGUCCAAGAAGAUGAACGCGAGCAACAACGCGUGGGCUUAUUACGCCGUUGAAGAAGCGACCGUCGUGCUAGGUGGCCCUACGACAUUGCAAGCUAGUUUGAUAGGGAGACUGGAUAAGCAGAGAAGGAAACGAGGGAGAAAGCUAAUCGACGAGGACAUUCAUAUGAGAUAAAUUAAACUCUAUCUCGCCUUA
rnacentral:lncRNA from 1 species